rnacentral:rRNA from 1 species
UACAGAGGUCCCAAGCGUUGUUCGGAUUCAUUGGGCGUAAAGGGUGCGUAGGCGGCGCGGUAAGUCGGGUGUGAAAUCUCGGAGCUUAACUCCGAAACUGCAUUCGAUACUGCCGUGCUUGAGGACUGGAGAGGAGACUGGAAUUUACGGUGUAGCGGUGAAAUGCGUAGAUAUCAAGCGGAACACCAGUGGCGAAGGCGAGUCCCUGGACAACUCCUGACACUGAGGCACGAAAGCUAGGGGAGCAAACAGG